GUAGGUGGCAAGCGUUGUCCGGAAUUAUUGGGCGUAAAGCGCGCGCAGGCGGUUCUUUAAGUCUGAUGUGAAAGCCCACGGCUCAACCGUGGAGGGUCAUUGGAAACUGGAGAACUUGAGUACAGAAGAGGAAAGCGGAAUUCCACGUGUAGCGGUGAAAUGCGUAGAGAUGUGGAGGAACACCAGUGGCGAAGGCGGCUUUCUGGUCUGUAACUGACGCUGAGGCGCGAAAGCGUGGGGAGCAAACAGGGAUUAGAUACCCUGGUAGUCCACGCCGUAAACGAUGCGUGCUAAGUGUUAGGGGGUUUCCGCCCCCUUAGUGCUGCAGCUAACGCAUUAAGCACUCCGCCUGGGGAGUACGGCCGCAAGGCUG
rnacentral:rRNA from 1 species